CUACGGGUGGCAGCAGUAGGGAAUAUUGCGCAAUGGGGGAAACCCUGACGCAGCGACGCCGCGUGAGUGAUGAAGGCUCUAGGGUUGUAAAGCUCUGUUCUGUGGGACUAAGUUCUGAAGGUACCACAGGAGAAAGGACCGGCUAACUUCGUGCCAGCAGCCGCGGUAAGACGAGGGGUCCAAGCGUUGUUCGGAAUCAUUGGGCGUAAAGCGGGUGCAGGCGGCUAAAUAAGUCAGAAGUGAAAGCCCAGGGCUCAACCCUGGAAGUGCUUUUGAUACUGUUUAGCUUGAGUGUGGUAGAGGUCAGUAGAAUUCCUGGUGUAGUGGUGAAAUACGUAGAUAUCAGGAGGAACACCGGUGGGGAAGCCGGCUGGCUGGGCCAACGCUGACGCUCAGACCCGAAAGCGUGGGGAGCAAACAGGAUUAGAUACCCGAGUAGUC
rnacentral:rRNA from 1 species